ensembl:lncRNA
UGCAUUUAUUAUAUAUAAGUACAGGGUAGCUGUCUUCAGACACAUCAGAAAAAGGCAUCAGAUCCCAUUACAAAUGGUUGUGAGCCACCAUGUGGUUGUUGGGAUUUGAACUCAGGACCUCUGGAAGAAUAGUCAGUGCUCCUAACCACUGAGCCAUCUCUCCAGCCCUAUUUUUAAAUUUAAUAUGUGUUUUAGUCAGGGUUUAUAUUCCUGCAUAAAACAUCAUAACCAAGAAGCAAGUUGGCAAGGAAAGGGUUUAUUUAGCUUACACUUCCACAUUGCUGUUCAUCACCAAAAGAAGUCAGGAUAGGAACUCACAAGGAGCAGGAACUUGGAGGCAGCAGCUGAUGCAGAGGCCAUGAAGGGUGCUCCUUACUGGCUUGCUUCCCCUGGCUUGCUCAGCUUGCUUUCUUAUAGAAUCCGGGACUACCAGGCCAGGGAUGGCCCCACCCACAAUGGGCUCUCUCACCCUAAAUCACAUUUCUUCAAAGGAGGCUCCUUUCUCUGUGAUAACUCCAGCUUGUGUCAAGUUGACACACAAAACCAACAAGUAAAAAUGUGUAUGAGUAUUUUGCCUUCGAGUACAUGUGUGUACCAUAUGCAUGCAUGCCUGGUGUUCACAGUGAUCAGAAGGUGUCAGACCCCCUGGAACUGGAGUCAUUUGUGGUUACAUUGAGUCUUGGUCCUCAGCAACAGCCAACUCUUUAGCCCUGCUUCUGCUUUCUAUGCCAGCAAUUGUAAACUUUCAUGGCUUUUCCUUCCAGCCCACCUCUACUCUUCUGCAAUAUUUUUACCCCCUACUAUAGGACCCCCUACUAUAGGACCCCCUACUAUAGCAGGGAUUUUCUAUGCAGUCUGAAAUUUCUGUUCUGAUGAAGGUCCCAGCCACAGUUGCUGAACAGAGUGAGUCCUAUCUCAAACUGUUCCCGAGGAGGAAGGGACCAUGUUUCAAGGGAAAAACAUCCUGCAAUAGAGCAAGACUCGACUGGAGGAUCAUUAUUCUUCCCUAGCUGCUUCCAGCUAGCCCCACUUCCAAGAGUCUUCUGGGCAACCAGAAAUAGCCUGCAGACCAAGAUUUUAUCUCCGAGUCCUUGCAUAAUCGCUUGAUACCACCAGAGGGCGCGCUGACUCUGUGGCUUUAAUCUGUUUGAGCAACGAAGGAGUUAGAAGGGUGAGGGUAAUGUGUUAGAGCAUACAUCUCUCCGUGGACAAUAACCAAGGACAGAAAGGGAGCGCCUCCAUGCUACCAGCCAGGCGGCUCCCCUGUCUUCAGAAUCUACAUGUGAUUCCCGAGACGCAGGAUUUAAUCUGUGAAUUGACAAUCUUAGACAUGUAUAUAACACAUUCUGCUUAUACACUUUUCCCUGCGCCCACUCCUCCCCUCCUCCCACCAGAUUCUAUUCCACUUCCAUGUUUGUUUUGUAUUUUUACAAACCACUGUGAUCAAGUAGGACCACUAGCAUGGACAUAUGUAUGAAGCUAUUCACUGGAGUAUUAGAGACGCAUCAGUGGCUACAUCAUUGAAGAUUAUGACUUCUCUCCUAAAGGCCCUACCCUGGACUAGGUGUGGAACAGUGAGCCCUUUCCCACUAUGGCUGAAUGUUGAAAGGUUCCGUCUUUUGAAGGCUUUGUGUAAGCAACUGUAGCUGAUAUAUCACAGCUGGGGCUGGAAAGAUUGUGGUUAAGAGAGAAUUCAAGGGGUUGGGGAUUUAGCUCAGUGGUAGAGCGCUUGCCUAGGAAGCGCAAGGCCCUGGGUUCGGUCCCCAGCUCCGGAAAAAAAAGAACCAAAAAAAAAAAAAAAAAAAAAAAAAAAAAAAAAAAAAAGAGAGAGAGAGAGAAUUCAAUUCCCAGCAACCACAUGGUGGCUCACAACCAUCUUUAAUGGGAUCUGAUGCCCCCUUCUGGUGUGUCUGAAGACAGCUACAG